UGAGACUGAGGCAGGAAAAGAGGAAAGUGAGGAAAAUACUUUCCUCUUUUCCUGCCUCAGUCUCG
rnacentral:pre_miRNA from 1 species